AUUGAACGCUGGCGGCAGGCCUAACACAUGCAAGUCGAGCGGAUGAAGGGGGCUUGCUCCUGGAUUCAGCGGCGGACGGGUGAGUAAUGCCUAGGAAUCUGCCUGGUGGUGGGGGAUAACGUCCGGAAACGGGCGCUAAUACCGCAUACGUCCUGAGGGAGAAAGUGGGGGAUCUUCGGACCUCACGCUAUCAGAUGAGCCUAGGUCGGAUUAGCUAGUUGGUGGGGUAAAGGCCUACCAAGGCGACGAUCCGUAACUGGUCUGAGAGGAUGAUCAGUCACACUGGAACUGAGACACGGUCCAGACUCCUACGGGAGGCAGCAGUGGGGAAUAUUGGACAAUGGGCGAAAGCCUGAUCCAGCCAUGCCGCGUGUGUGAAGAAGGUCUUCGGAUUGUAAAGCACUUUAAGUUGGGAGGAAGGGCAGUAAGUUAAUACCUUGCUGUUUUGACGUUACCAACAGAAUAAGCACCGGCUAACUUCGUG
rnacentral:rRNA from 1 species